GCCUCCGGCCUUCUGUAGUCCUCCCCAAGACCUCCCACGGUCCGUAGAAAGAGAAGGAGAUGAGCUGCUGUCCAGUUUUUCCAAAUCGAAAAAGAAAAGGAGCUAAAACGUUUUCCGACGGGUAAAAAUGUCACAACAGAAUUAGCUACAUUUCUCCAUAAAGGUCAAAGAAUAUAAAACCAACAUUGAUUGCGUUGAUUAAAUAUCCAAAUGAGUCCAAGAGCUCUCUUUGUAAAAAGCAGGGAGAGUACGAGUACAGUAGCCUGCUGCCUCACCUUCAGAGCCAUGGAACCCACAUUGUAAAGUAUGCAGAUUUCCAAGUGGUCAUUUUGUGGUUUCUCUGUACAACGUGCUGCAUUUUAUCCUUAAGACACCCUUCAAUUUUAAUGAGAAUGACAUGCCAGCUUUGAGGAAGUGGUGGUGCACAAUGUUGCUUGAGAACUCCAACCCCAAGAGGUUUAGACUCUAUUGAGCCAUUAAUUAAAAGACAGAAGAUGAGUGAAGACUUGCACUAAGUAUGAAGUGAAAAAAAAGUCUUGCUAUUACAUAGCACUGCAUUCAUGCAGGUUUCAAAUCUUUUCUUUUAGAAGAAACAUCAGCCUCCCUUCUGCAAUAUCCAGCAGAGGUCAUUGAUGAGCAGCAACACAGAAUCCUUCAGCUUCUUGAGGAGGCAGAGAAGUAGUGUGCUAACAAUCGAUCCGUGAUCAGGGGGCAAGUCUCACCCCCGUCAUUACUGUCAAUGGAGAAAGAAGACAUAGAGGCCCUUCAGGAACUGAAGAGGAGAAGGAAUAUGUCUUUAGACCCUUCAUCUUCCUUUUUUCACGUAUGGAAGUCAUGCAUCUGUUUUUAGAUUAUGUGAGAGGAAAAAGAAAAAUUACUGUGCUUUUUGAGAAAAUGUAGCAUAAACAUACACGCCCUUCAUUGUUCUGUUGCAACCUACAAUUCUUGCUUUAUGUUUUAUGUAUUGUUUAAGUUUUUUGUAAUAAAUGUUGCAAACCAACUUCAUUUUUGCAGUC